rnacentral:ncRNA from 1 species
UAUAAAUUUACUGAAAAGGGAAUCAGGUGAAAAUCCUGAACAGACCCGCUGCUGUAAUCUCUAAUGAAAGUCUGGAACACUACUUAAUUCCACUGUUUAUCAAAACAUGAAACGGGAAGGAUGUUCUAAGAUAGAGAAAGUCAGAAGACCUGCCAUAGAUACAA